rnacentral:piRNA from 1 species
UNGGUCACGGUUGCUAUUAUUUGCCUAAAU